GACGAACGCUGGCGGCGUGCUUAACACAUGCAAGUCGAACGAAGUGGCGAACGGGUGAGUAACGCGUAAUCAACCUGCCCUUCAGAGGGGGACAACAGUUGGAAACGACUGCUAAUACCGCAUACUGAAGGAGGGGAUUGAGUCUGAUUAGCUAGUUGUAGGGGUAACGGCCCACCAAGGCGAUGAUCAUUAGCCGGUCUGAGCGGAUGAAGCGCAACAUUGGGACUGCGAAACGGCCCAGACUCCUACGGGAGGCAGCAGGGGGGAAUCUUACGCAAUGGACGAAAGUCUGACGGAGCAACGCCGCGUGAGUGAUGACGGCCUUCGGGUUGUAAAGCUCUGUUAAUCGGGACGCGGUACCGGAAUAGAAAGCCACGGCUAACUACGUGCCAGCAGCCGCGGUAAUAC
rnacentral:rRNA from 1 species